rnacentral:rRNA from 1 species
AGAGUUUGAUCAUGGCUCAGGACGAACGCUGGCGGCAUGCCUAAUACAUGCAAGUCGAACGAGCUUCCGUUGAAUGACGUGCUUGCACUGAUUUCAACAAUGAAGCGAGUGGCGAACUGGUGAGUAACACGUGGGAAAUCUGCCCAGAAGCAGGGGAUAACACUUGGAAAUAGGUGCUAAUACCGUAUAACAACAAAAUCCGCAUGGAUUUUGUUUGAAAGGUGGCUUCGGCUAUCACUUCUGGAUGAUCCCGCGGCGUAUUAGUUAGUUGGUGAGGUAAAGGCCCACCAAGACGAUGAUACGUAGCCGACCUGAGAGGGUAAUCGGCCACAUUGGGACUGAGACACGGCCCAAACUCCUACGGGAGGCAGCAGUAGGGAAUCUUCCACAAUGGACGCAAGUCUGAUGGAGCAACGCCGCGUGAGUGAAGAAGGCUUUCGGGUCGUAAAACUCUGUUGUUGGAGAAGAAUGGUCGGCAGAGUAACUGUUGUCGGCGUGACGGUAUCCAACCAGAAAGCCACGGCUAACUACGUGCCAGCAGCCGCGGUAAUACGUAGGUGGCAAGCGUUAUCCGGAUUUAUUGGGCGUAAAGCGAGCGCAGGCGGUUUUUUAAGUCUGAUGUGAAAGCCCUCGG